UACGUAGGGUGCGAGCGUUAAUCGGAAUUACUGGGCGUAAAGCGUGCGCAGGCGGUAAGUUAAGUCUGAUGUGAAAGCCCCGGGCUCAACCCGGGAAUUGCGCUUGAGACUGGUGUGCUUGAGUACGGGAGAGGAUAGUGGAAUUCCCAGUGUAGAGGUGAAAUUCGUAGAUAUUGGGAAGAACACCAGUGGCGAAGGCGGCUAUCUGGACCGUAACUGACGCUGAGGCGCGAAAGCGUGGGGAGCAAACAGG
rnacentral:rRNA from 1 species